UACGAAGGGGGCUAGCGUUGCUCGGAAUCACUGGGCGUAAAGGGUGCGUAGGCGGGUCUUUAAGUCAGAGGUGAAAUCCUGGAGCUCAACUCCAGAACUGCCUUUGAUACUGAGGAUCUUGAGUUCGGGAGAGGUGAGUGGAACUGCGAGUGUAGAGGUGAAAAUUGUAGAUAUUCGCAAGAACACCAGUGGCGAAGGCGGCUCACUGGCCCGAUACU
rnacentral:rRNA from 1 species